AUCUUCACAAGACAGUCUGCACCAAUAAAAAAAUAAUAAGAUAUCAGAAUCUCCCAAUAUUGUCAGCGGAGAUCGUUCUUUUACUUCUAGGACUUUCAUGUUCACAGGAAUCAAGCAAUGCAAUGGAAUCCGAGAUGCACAAUUUAGACAAUAUCUUAGACAAUGCAAUAUGUUUGACCAAAGAAUGGUUUAGAGACAUAUUUCAACCAAGAUUCAAUCUGCAUUAUUGGCAAUCGUAUCAUGAGGAGUUGCAGGUGUGGAGUUCAAUAAUUGAGGCUGGGAAAAAUGUUUCUCCUAAGUGGAAAGAAUCAUUUCUGUCUGAUUUAUUAAACAAAAUAAAGCAGG